rnacentral:rRNA from 1 species
GUGGGGAAUUUUGGACAAUGGGCGCAAGCCUGAUCCAGCAAUGCCGCGUGCAGGAUGAAGGCCUUCGGGUUGUAAACUGCUUUUGUACGGAACGAAAAGCCCUGGGUUAAUACCCUGGGGUCAUGACGGUACCGUAAGAAUAAGCACCGGCUAACUACGUGCCAGCAGCCGCGGUAAUACGUAGGGUGCGAGCGUUAAUCGGAAUUACUGGGCGUAAAGCGUGCGCAGGCGGUUUUGUAAGACAGAGGUGAAAUCCCCGGGCUCAACCUGGGAACUGCCUUUGUGACUGCAAGGCUAGAGUACGGCAGAGGGGGAUGGAAUUCCGCGUGUAGCAGUGAAAUGCGUAGAUAUGCGGAGGAACACCGAUGGCGAAGGCAAUCCCCUGGGCCUGCACUGACGCUCAUGCACGAAAGCGUGGGGAGCAAACAGGAUUAGAUACCCGAGUAGUCC